GGGGGUAUAGCUCAGUGUUAGAGCACUUGCCUAGCAUGCCUGAGGCCCUGGGUUUAGUCCUCAGUGCUGCCA
rnacentral:tRNA from 1 species